rnacentral:rRNA from 1 species
UACGGAGGGUGCAAGCGUUAUCCGGAUUUAUUGGGUUUAAAGGGUCCGUAGGCGGAUUUGUAAGUCAGUGGUGAAAUCUCGCAGCUUAACCGUGAAACUGCCAUUGAUACUGCAAGUCUUGAGUAAAUUUGAAGUGGCUGGAAUAAGUAAUGUAGCGGUGAAAUGCAUAGAUAUUACUUAGAACACCAAUUGCGAAGGCAGGUCACUAAGAUUUAACUGACGCUGAUGGACGAAAGCGUGGGUAGCGAAC